GCACCCAAUCACCCGUGUCUCGCCCCAAUCUGACCCCAGCCGCCAAACGAACCCUAGCCCCCUUUCUUCGUCGCCUCAAUCCCUAUAGCCGCUGCACCCCUCCCUGUCCCUUCUGUGCGUGCGCUCGGCCAAGGACGCCGCCGUCGCCCUCGGCUGCUCCUCCACCACCCCGCCUCUUUCUCCUCCUCGCCUUCCCAUCGGUUGCGCUCAGGUCGUCGCCGUCGAUGAAUAGGAUAGUGCGGGCCGCUUCCUCCUUUUCCUCCGGCCGGAUCUAAGGCGUGCGACCGCGGAGGCGAGCCUCUCCGGUGGCAGAGGCAAAGGCGACCACAUGGAUCGAUCCCUGCAGGAGAUAGAAGAUUGGAGAGAGGGAAAGAAGGAAGGAGAGGAGGGGGACCCAGUGGCGGACAGGAGAGGGUCACCAGCCGGCGCCGGCGAGGUCAAGUGCGACCUAAUGGUUGGUGGUGGCUCGAUCCACUCCUGGAUCUUUAUUGUUCCACUUCCCCACUGCCUAACACCGAGCAAGAGGGCUGCCCGAGGAAGAGGGUGAGGACGCAGGGAUUGAAGAGGGUGUUCCCGCGUUCAUCGCCUGGCCAAGUGCAAGGACGAGGACGAGGACGUGGGGUGGAGCAUGUCAUCCCUCUGGUUAUCGCCUUCCUUUCUGCUGCUGGGCUGAGAUGAGGGUUUUCUCCAGCGAUUGUGGUAGCCCGAGUCAGAGAUCGACAGCUAGAUGCUUGUGGCUACCACACAAAAUGUGCUCUCUUGCUGACCUCGAGGUCCGGCCGCAAUUCCUCUUGUUUUUGCUCCAAGGUAUAGAAGAAGGACCUUUGCUUAAUGGUUGAUUUUCUUCUGCUCACGGCAGCUUGCUCGAGGCAAACAUGCAAGCCUGACAUGCACUGAUGGCGCUGCCGGCAGUAUCAAGGAUGGAAACAGCAAGACUCUCUUUUAGGUCAGAGAAACUGGUGGUGCCAAUGAUAACGCCUGAAUCUUCGUGACUGCAGCAGCCACCAUCAUGUUGUAGCUCAGCCAGACCACGACCAUCGAUAGGUGACCAUCUUCAUUGAGGUAUAGAAAACAAUCCAUGUAUUGCCAUGCCAUGCUUAUGUUCUCUAAAGUUUUACAUCCUUCAAUCCCACUCAUUGACAAGACUUAGACAAACACUUUUACUGGUGAUGUUGGGGCUUUUUUUAACUGAGAUGUGAAAGAUGCAUCUUAUCCCCCGAGAAAUAUUGCCUUUAAUUUCUUGAUUUUUUUCCUGGCAUGCUAAUUUAGAGCCAGAUAUGCAUGAUUCAUAAUACACAUUACAGUCAAUUAUCCAUUGGUGAAUCUUUUGUCCAUAGAGGUGAUUUUGUUUGGACCAUUAGUCUAGGUAGUGACAUUUUGAUCGAUAAGGCACAAGUUUAUUUUCUUUUUCACUCAGGGCUACACUAAAGUAAGAAUCACCGUUAGUGAAAAGAAGGCAUACAAAUCAUGAAGCUUUUGCCUUGGUUGAGUGCCUCAUUUAAUUGUCACUUAUUUAUUUGAAGGAAGUUAUUCAAUUCUCAUCAGGCUUCCCUUAAUGCUUUCCAUUGCUAAAGAAGAAAUUUAAUACUCGAUAUUUUUAAUAUGUGAGGAGGCGAGGGGAGAAGAAAAGGGGCUGUCAGGUCGGACUUUUGGUGCGUCUCUGACCAGAGAUAGCUGGAUCCAUUUGAUGCUCUUCCAAACAGUGCAGUGCAGAUUUGCUGACUGGUAAAAGGAAAAGAGAACAUUGGAGGAAAAGGCAACAGGGCAGAUUCUCUAAGCUUUCUCAAAUGUUUGAAGGAAAAGAUAGUUACAAUUAUUUUUCUCUCGCCUUAUUACAUAUUGAUGUUAAUAGGCGUUGGAAGGUACGAUGGACCACAUUCAAGGUUUACAGAAUUUGCACAAUCCUAUUACAGUUUAUUCUGAUGAAAGAAUUGACCAGUUCUUCCUUGAGUAAAUUAGUAUUGCUGAUGCUACUCCUUUGUGCAUUGUUACAUAGAGUUAUAGUUGUGAAGGUGUGUACGCAUCAACAUAUAAUUCCCACCAUCCUAUUAUAGUUUGUUUUGAUGACAAAUUGUGCAGCUCUUACUUGAGAAAUUGUGCAGAUCUUCCUUGAGUAAAUUAGUAUUGUGGUUACUAAUCCUCUGUGCAUUUGGGUACAGCUCUACUGAAAUACUUCCUCUGUUCCUAAAUAUAAGUCUUUCUAGAGAUUACACUACAAACUACAUACGGAUGUAUAUAGACAUAUUUUAGAGUGUAGAUUCACUCAUUUUGCCCGGUAUGUAGUCAGUAAUAGAAUCUCUAAAAAGACUUAUUUUUAGGAACAGAGGGAGUACUUCAUAUGCCCAUUUUAAACCCAGACCUGACUUUAAAUCAUUUCUGUUC